rnacentral:rRNA from 1 species
GACGAACGCUGGCGGCGUGCCUAAUACAUGCAAGUAGAACGCAGUUGCGAACGGGUGAGUAACGCGUAGGUAACUGCCUCAUAGCGGGGGAUAACUAUUGGAAACGAUAGCUAAUACCGCCUACUGUGAGAUGGACCUGCGUUGGAUUGGCUAGUUGGUGAGGUAAAGGCUCACAAAGGCGACGUUACAUAGCCGACCUGAGAGGGUGAUCGGCCACACUGGAACUGAGACACGGCCCAGACUCCUACGGGAGGCAGCAGUGGGGAAUCUUGGGCAAGGGAGGGAAGUCUGAUCCAGCAACGCCGCGUGAGUGAAGAAGGUUUUCGGAUCGUAAAGCUCUGUUGGUAGAGAAGCUUUAACUAACCAGAAAGGGAGGGCUAAUUACUGGCCAGCAGCCGCGGUAAUA